rnacentral:misc_RNA from 1 species
UUUCCGUAGGUGAACCUGCGGAAGGAUCAUUAAAGAACGCCCCGUUUUUUGAAAUGGGUAAUUCUAAACCGUGUAUACAUACCUUUGUUGCUUUUGCAGGCCGCCCCUCAGGGCGUCGGCUCCGGCUGACUGCGCCUGCCAGAGGACCCAAACUCUUUUGUUUAGUGAUGUCUGAGUACUAUAUAAUAGUUAAAACUUUCAACAACGGAUCUCUUGGUUCUG